rnacentral:lncRNA from 1 species
GCAAAAUCAGCAACUGUUGAAGCAAUAUCAAAGCCGAAAGUUGGAAAUGUAUGUUUGGAGAGGACCUCCAGUCUAUUUGAUAGUAUUUUUGUUUUUUUAUAGCAGCUCCAUGACCUAUUGUCUCCUGUAAUUUUGUUUUUAAGUACUCACUUAUCAAAUUCAAUGUGAUGAAGUUGAACAAUGAACUCUAUUACUUCAUUAUUGUGAUGUUAUAUAUGAAAGGG